UACGAAGGGUGCAAGCGUUAAUCGGAAUUACUGGGCGUAAAGGGUGCGUAGGCGGUUCGUUAAGUCUGUCGUGAAAUCCCCGGGCUCAACCUGGGAAUGGCGAUGGAUACUGGCGAGCUAGAGUGUGUCAGAGGAUGGUGGAAUUCCCGGUGUAGCGGUGAAAUGCGUAGAGAUCGGGAGGAACAUCAGUGGCGAAAGCGGCUUCCUGGACCAGAACUGACGAUCAGGCACGAAAGCGUGGGGAGCAAACAGG
rnacentral:rRNA from 1 species